GGGGACAUAAAUAUUUGAAUUAGUGCUUUAGGGUUAGUGAACUAAUAUUUAGAUUAGUGCUGCACACCACUGGUUAUUAGCUGUAGGAAGACAUUUGUCCUGUUUGGCUUAGUUGAAUUUUAAUUUGCACAAAGCAGUGAGUUUUGUGUCCUACAAUAAUGCUAGUUGCUGCUAGCUGAUGCUUAUAGCAGUUAGCAUGAGAUAGAUAGCCUGUUGUAAGUAUUGGGUUCUUUUUCAGUUUAGUUUUUAGUGGCACUUAGUCAAGAAAUUAGUCAUUUAAACACGUUUUGGUAGAAAACCUGGUUCAGUCCAGAUUUGACAGUUUUGGGCUGUAAAAUGUGUUGUUUUGAACCCAGCUGUUUACUGCAUUCAUUACUGUGCAAAAUUCUUGAAUCAUCUUAUUUAAUAUUGUUUUAGAUUUAGGUUGUAAAGUGGUCUGGAUCAAUAGUUCUUGGGGUCUUUGGACUUUGUUUGCUUUACAAACAUCUCAUUUUGUUUAGCUCCUUAAAAAAAGUGAAGAUGUUUUAAAAACUCCACACAUUAAGGUCUUUAGGUUUCAGUUUGUUUGCAGGGAGUUUCUGAUUGUUUGUCUUCACAGGUUCAGUUCGUCCACACCCACUCAUUACACCAGUGUCGUCAUGGAUCCCAGUUUGGAUCCAAACUGUUAUUCUGAAUCUUUAUUUUGGGCUCCAAACUGACCCGAAUCUACUCAAAAACCACAAAUCUGAUUCCCAGAGGCCAAAUCGUCCUGUUCGUUUUGCCUUGCUGCAGCAUAUUCUGAGCUUUUUUCUUAUAACUUACAACUUUUUUAGAUUUUCAUCRCCUUCAUUUAUCGUCUCUUUAGCCUGAAAAGGAUCUGCACGCUGUGGACGGGUUUGUUCCAGCUGGUGACGAACAACAGAGAUAUUUUUGUUGUUGUUUCACACGUGAGGAGUCAUUCAGUUGAAACGUUCAUCCUUUUUAUCCGAGCAGCUUUUAGAAGCUUCAGCUCUGAAGAUAAACUUCAUUCCAGAGAGAGUUUGAUUGAUAACGGGAGGAAAGGUCGGGAUCUGACAGCCUUGUGUUGAGACGAGCCCAUCUCUGGAUAAGGGAAGACACCGGCUGACCUCGUAACGGCCUCAGCGAGACUGAGAGCUCCUCAUCCAAACGUGAAUGAUCUCACUUGCUAACAAUGUGAGCUGCUACUUCCUCUGUGGCGGCGGCGCCUCCUCUGAAAUAACGGUUUGACGCAUCGGUUCAUCUGGACGGAGGUAAAUCAAGGCAGAAGAUACUCUGGAUUCAAAAGGUUGAACCGCUGCAGCCCGAAGCUCUCUGACACUCAGAUGAUGGAGGGUUUCAAACUGUCUCCUCUGCAUCCCAUCAACUGAUCCUCCUCCUCCUCCUCCUCCUCGCUCCGGUCCGAGGGUGUGCCUCCUCCGAGUGGAAUGUGGAAGCGCGGCCGCGUCGUUUUGUUGUUCGAGUGUUUACCUGCGAGGGAGCGUUGAUCCGAGUCUUUCAGCUGCAGUUUCACGCGACUGAUUUGAAUCUGGUGGAGCAAAAAGUUUAACUGAGUGGCUGCAGCUGUGUGGAGACGCCUGGUGGCUGAAAGGAGAUUUUAUCUCCUUCUUUGAGCUGUGUGAAGCUGACACCCCACCCACACAAAAAAUCCAAACAAGUAAGCAGAUUGGUUAGUGCUUCGUUUGUGCAGGUUUGUGCAGUUAAAAUGAGCGUUUGUGCUGUUAUAGUUUUUGAGAUAUUAAGCAUUAUGUCUUUAGGUCAUUAUGACGUCACCAUCCCCCCAGCAACCUCCGAAAUUAACCAAAACAUUAUACUAUUUUUGUGCUUCAUUUGUGCAGGUUAGUGCAGUAGAAAUGAGCGUUUGUGCUGUUACAGUUUUUGAGAUAKUACAAGUUUUUACUUUAACGCGAUGACAUCAUCGUCCCCCCAGCACGCUCCGAAAUGGUGACGUCAUCGGCCGAAAUUAUAACCGCUAAUAUCUCGAAAACAAAAGCUGCACAAACGACAGUUUUUACUGCACAAACAUGCACAAACGGAGCACUAACGACCUAGCCCACUUUGGUUAGUUUUUGGAGCGAUCUGGGGUGAUGGUGAACAGUAGAUGACCAAAAAAUAUAAUACUUAAUAUCUCGGAAACCACAACUGCACAAACGACACUUUUAACGGCACAAACCUGCACAAACGGAGCACUAACGAUUCUGACUAUUUGAUGGAUUUUUUGACGUGGGUGGGGUGUCAGCUUCACACAGCUCCUUCUUUGGCUUUUUUUCUUCUUCUUUCCCCCAUCCUUCUACCAAAACACUGUCCCUCGUCUGGACACGUCCAAAUCAUCUCUAACUUUACCUCCCAGUCGUUCAACCUGCGAUCUUCCAGAUGCAAUUUUGAAAUGCAGGUCUGCACUCAAUGUAAACAAAAGCUUUGUCUGAAUCCGCAGACCACCGCAGACCACCAGUCUGUGUAGAUGAACAAUAUUCAUAAAGAAAAAUGCAAAAAUAAGCUGAAAAUUAAAUAUUCCAACAACUACAAUCUUGUUAUUUAUUAUUUUUUUCUGGUUCUGGUUGAAUUAUGAGUUGUCAACCUUAUUAAAUGAAAAGAAAUAAUAUUAAUAUAAAAAGUGUUUUUAUUUAGGUAUAAAAGACAGAUACACGCUUUACAAUGUGCAGUGACAACGAGACAUUUCUGAUCCGUUUUAAAAUCAGUGUAAACAUUUUCUGGUCAGUUGUUACCUUUGAGUUUUCUAUGAAUAAACUUUAAAAAAGUGUCCAGAGACGUUUUUUUUUUUUGUAAACAGUUUCCCUCUCACU